GCUAACGUAGCUUAAUUUUAAAGCA
rnacentral:tRNA from 1 species